rnacentral:rRNA from 1 species
UACGUAGGGUGCAAGCGUUGUCCGGAAUUAUUGGGCGUAAAGAGCUCGUAGGCGGUCUGUCGCGUCUGCUGUGAAAACUCAGGGCUUAACCCUGAGCUUGCAGUGGGUACGGGCAGACUAGAGUGCGGUAGGGGAGACUGGAAUUCCUGGUGUAGCGGUGAAAUGCGCAGAUAUCAGGAGGAACACCGAUGGCGAAGGCAGCUCACUGGGACGGUAUUGACGCUGGAGAACGCGAAAGCGUGGGGAGCAAACAGG